rnacentral:rRNA from 1 species
AGCAGCCGCCGCGGUAAAACGAAGGGUGCAAGCGUUAAUCGGAAUUACUGGGCGUAAAGCGUGCGUAGGCGGUGAGUUAAGCCUGCUGUGAAAUCCCCGGGCUCAACCUGGGAAUGGCGGUGGAUACUGGCUCGCUAGAGUGUGUCAGAGGAUGGUGGAAUUCCCGGUGUAGCGGUGAAAUGCGUAGAGAUCGGGAGGAACAUCAGUGGCGAAGGCGGCCAUCUGGGACAACACUGACGCUGAGGCACGAAAGCGUGGGGAGCAAACAGGAUUAGAUACCCCAGUAGUCCCUGUCUCUUAUAC